AAAAAGUCAAACCUUGAGUUUUCGUGUCCAAUUUUAACUGUCCGUCUUAUAUGAAAUUUUUUUAUAAUUCGUAUUUUUAUUAUUGUUAAAUGAUAAAACAUGAUUAAUAUUUUAUGUGUGACUUGUUUUUUUUAAUUUUUUUUAUAAAUUUUUUAAUAAGACGGACGGUCAAACGUUGGACACGGAAAUCAAGG
rnacentral:pre_miRNA from 1 species